CCUAUUGUGUGUCUGGUAAAGAUCAAUUAAUCCACACACUGCAUGCAGCUGUGGGUAUUAAAUUUAAACUCAGCACUGUGUCUCAUAUUUAUUUUAAAUGCUCGGAAACAAGGUCUCUCCAGCUUCUCUUCUGGGCUCUGAGCCAAGUAUAAUGACUGAGAAUACAAAUGGAACAGACGAUUCCCAGUCUCAGUGUUGCAACAGUCAGGUGUCACUGUUUGGAUGCGGCUCGGACCCACCCAGUUCCAUGGAGCUCUUUCCUGACACCCACAGUCAACCACAGAGUCAGGUUGUGGACAAGUUUCUUCAGCGAUCCACCACACAGCAAAGAUCAAAAGCUAUAGCUUCUAAAAUUGAUUCUAGACAACUGAAGUUGCAGCCAAAGAUUCCCCUAAACCGGAUGUUUUUUUCCAAGUAUCUCAAGUCUUCCAAGCCAGAGCAACAAAAGACUAUGAGAAAGUCUGAAGAUUCUCAAACAAGCAGAUCCAAUCAGAGUUAUGAAGUGUGGAAGACAACGCAAGCGGAUAAAUUUGAGAACCAACAUUUUAUGGAUGAAAUUCAGAAAGCAGUGAAAGAAGGAAUGAAAGAGGUAAAGAGUGAACUCAAGAAUGAUAUUGAAGAGCUGAGAGCAGCAGUUGCUGAGCAACAGUCAGGGAUCACAAGGAAUCAGAAAUUUUCAUCUCAAAUCAUUACAAGUAUAGCGGAUCUAAAGCAGUGUGUGGAGCAAUGUUAUCAGGAAAGAGUAAACUCACAUGCGAUGCCUACAUGGCUACAAUCCCAGAAUGCCGUGCUGUCUUUAAAGCUUGAUGGGCUGUUUGAAGACCUUCACAAGAGAGUUCAGAGUCUAGAAACCCUAAUUGGAGGUUCUCUAACACGAAACACUGCAUCUACAAGCAGCAUUUCUUCAUUUCAAAAGUCCAUUUAUACUCAACCUGAGCCAGAGAGAGGGGAACCAAUCUCAGCAGCAAGAUGCAUUAGUGGAAAUGAUCAAGCUGUUCCUUUGCGAAAAGAUUUGUUGAGCUAUCAAGGUGAUACUUUCAAAGUGCAUACUCAACAAGCUCAUUCAAAGGACUGUUUAGCCAAAAAGGUUUCACCGACUAGUACUGAUCAGAAAGUCAUCUCUACCGUGUGUGACGCAGACCUCACAAAACAGUACUCCUUGUCAGCAUGCAGCCAGAUGAUUCCUGGCAUACUUAAACUGGAAGAAAGAAAUAGACAAAUCAAAAAUGGCGCUAAUUCGGAGAAAAUAAAAGGGAUAAAUAAGCGAAAGAUUAUAAAGAGCGAGAAAGCUAAUACACGGCGUUCUCAACGUUUGAAGCGAAGUACACCCCAGUACUAUGAAAAUGAAAGCAGUGAUGCGGACUACUCGUUUCAACCAAAGAGGAAAGCUUCUCAGGCAAAACAGAGGCAACAAAAAUCAAGAACACAGUUGGUAAAAACUCCUCAAGGUGAACUGGAUAACUACAUCUUCUCGCAGACACCCAUAGUUUCUCCAAAGUUUGCAGCAGCUAUCGUUGAGCAGCCCAAAACUGGGAAACUAAACUCAACAACCAAGGAGUCAGUAGAGAAGGUCUAUCGCAGCAAAGAAGCAGCCAGACAAAUGUUUGAAGCACAUCUGGAGUUAAUUAUGACUUCAGUAGACUCACCUUCGGGACAGUGCAGUUUGGCAGAAAUUCAGAAAAAUGGCUUCAGCUGACAUUCUUCAAACCCAUGGCUCAUUUAAUGGCUCUUUCCAUUUACUAAAUCACACCCUAACGUCAUAUCCGGCCGUAUUAUGAUUAUUAUAAAAUGGUUAGGACUGACCAGUAUACGGAAUAGCAAGAUGGCUGCAUUUCAGGUUGAGUAUUGAGUGUUUCGUGCACCAAUGAUCAUCUAGCUAGCAAUUCAUGCCAAAGAAAAGUAUAUUAUACCUUAAGGUGGCUUAUUUUCAGAGGUAAUUUGUCUGCAAUUUCACUGUUCAGCUCAUUUUCUAUAGUGUUUCUAAUUACUUGCAGGUUUUAUAAUGAGAUUCAUUGCAUUUUGCAAACUCUCAUUCACAGAAAUUAAUACUCCCAAAAAAUGUCACCUUAAUUAAUGAUUGAGGAUUGUCCAGUCCUGACUCCGCUCUCCUGAAGUUCAGUAGUGCUAUAAUAAAGCAGCAGCAAGAAGGUUAUUUCAGUGACUGAUCAAUCAUACCCAUCAUCAAUCAUCACCUAAUGUCACCAAAGCCAUGUUAGAAUGAACAAUCGUUUGUUCUAUAAAUUAAAAAGUAUGUUUUAUAGACAUCUGUACAGC